UGGGGAAUUUUGCACAAUGGGGGAAACCCUGAUGCAGCGACGCCGCGUGAUUUAGAAGGCCUUCGGGUUGUAAAAAUCUUUUCUAUGGGAAGAAAAUGACAGUACCAUAGGAAUAAGGACCGGCUAAUUACGUGCCAGCAGCCGCGGUAAUACGUAAGGUCCGAGCGUUGUCCGGAAUCAUUGGGCGUAAAGGGUACGUAGGCGGGUAAGCAAGUUAGAAGUGAAAUCCUAUAGCUCAACUAUAGUAAGCUUUUAAAACUGCUCAUCUUGAGGUAUGGAAGGGAAAGUGGAAUUCCUAGUGUAGCGGUGAAAUGCGCAGAUAUUAGGAGGAAUACCGGUGGCGAAGGAGACUUUCUGGCCAUACCCUGACGCUGAGGUACGACAGCGUGGGGAGCAAACAGG
rnacentral:rRNA from 1 species